rnacentral:rRNA from 1 species
AUGGCUGACCGCCUCCUUCCGUACGAGCCAGGAUCUCCUCGAGAUUGCACGCGAGGCACGCGGUCUUGGCUUCGGUCUCUGGGAGAGCUCAGUCUUUGGCGGUCAAGAGCACGAACGAGAAGCAGGGUGCCGGCCACCGGCGUGACCCGUGACUUCGGCAGAUCGGGUCACGGGCGAGUGCAAUUUGACAAUUUUGACCUCGGGACGAAAUCAUUUCAUAGAAUGAACUGGGUGCGAAACUAUUUCACUCGACUGACCCUUUUGUGUAGCGCCCGCCACGCCGGCGCCACACCCUACAGUGCAGCGCCUAGCGCGGCGGCGUUGCACUCCUGUCCAUCGUGGCAGCCCCUGGGCCCGCACCCAGCAGUGCAGCGCCUCCGGGCUAGGCGCCACACAUGUAAUGUGCAGCGUCUAGCCGCUAGGCGCUACACUGUGACUUAUCCAGCCACUUGGCAGGGUCCCCCUCCCCCACCCCGCCCCCCACACCACACACUCUCUACCCGAUCUUUGCCCCCUCUCCCACUCUCUCCCCCUCUCAAAUCCUCUCCCAAAUCUUGCAAAUUUGAAGAAUUUGUCUGUGGAUUUCGAAGUCAAACCCUCCCUCAAGGGAUGGGAAGAACAUAUGUGUUUAUUCAUCAUGGGGACAAAGACGCCUUUUUGAAAGGCAAUAAAGAACCGGACCCGGAUGAGCUUGACAAAUUCCACUCUAAGUUCAACAUUAUAAAAAAAUGA